GACGAACGCUGGCGGCGUGCCUAAUACAUGCAAGUUGAGCGCUGAAGGUUGGUACUUGUACCAACUGGAUGAGCAGCGAACGGGUGAGUAACGCGUGGGGGAUCUGCCUUUGAGCGGGGGACAACAUUUGGAAACGAAUGCUAAUACCGCAUAAAAACUUUAAACACAAGUUUUAAGUUUGAAAGAUGCAAUUGCAUCACUCAAAGAUGAUCCCGCGUUGUAUUAGCUAGUUGGUGAGGUAAAGGCUCACCAAGGCGAUGAUACAUAGCCGACCUGAGAGGGUGAUCGGCCACAUUUGGACUGGGACACGGCCCAAACUCCUACGGGAGGCAGCAGUAGGGAAUCUUCGGCAAUGGACGAAAGUCUGACCGAGCAACGCCGCGUGAGUGAAGAAGGUUUUCGGAUCGUAAAACUCUGUUGGUAGAGAAGAACGUUGGUGAGAGUGGAAAGCUCAUCAAGUGACGGUAACUACCCAGAAAGGGACGGCUAACUACGUG
rnacentral:rRNA from 1 species